UUCCCACUCCACACCUCUAUAUUUCUGUGUGUGUGUCUUUAAUUCCUCUAGCGUCACUGGGUUAGGGUCUCCCCAAACAAGCUGGUCUCGGCAAUUGGCAUCCAUCAUACGGGCUGGAAUCCAGGUUGAAGGGUCACCUGAUAAAUGGUUGGAGAAUGUGGAACAAAGCUGGAGGACACCAGAGUACUCUUAAGCGAUCUGCGUGCUGAGCAAGACUGUGGACGGUUUGCAUUUACAAUUCCUGUGGUAAACAACCUGCAGCCUGCUGAGCAUUUUCAUUGUUUCACAGAUGGAUCUAGUAAUUGUAAAGCUUCUUAUUCUGGAUCAAAAGGACUGAAUCAACAGCCAAUUUGGAUACCAACAAGACACCUAAAACCUUAUCAUGAGCCAGAUGUUGAGGAAAAGAUUCCAGGAGGAUCCUGAGGAUCCCCUAGUUACAGCCAUGUUGAGACUGACACCGAGGAAGACCCCAACUGUCAUGAGCAACACCCGUUGAACACAGCCACCAACCUGGGGACAGAUCAAGAAGCUGUCACAGAUGGCAGGAAAAAAAACUGAGAAAAGCAGGACAGCCAGUCACAAUGAGUAAUUUAAUGGUAGCUAUGAUAGUAAUGAUCACCAUUGCCAUGUGUAUUCCUUAAACAAGGGCUGACACAGAGAACAAUUAUACUAACUGGGCAUAUUUAUUAAUCUUGGCUGGUAAUAAUGCCUGAAUGUAAUCACUCCAUGACACAGUUACACAUGCUUUCUGGUCUCA